UACGAAGGGAGCUAGCGUUGUUCGGAAUUACUGGGCGUAAAGGGCGCGUAGGCGGCAUGGUAAGUCAGAUGUGAAAGCCCUGGGCUUAACCUAGGAACUGCAUUUGAUACUGCUGUGCUAGAGAUCGAGAGAGGAAAGUGGAAUUACGAGUGUAGAGGUGAAAUUCGUAGAUAUUCGUAAGAACACCAGUGGCGAAGGCGGCUUUCUGGCUCGAUACUGACGCUAAGGCGCGAAAGCGUGGGGAGCAAACAGG
rnacentral:rRNA from 1 species